ACGCUCGACACCUACGGGAGACAGCAGUGGGGAAUAUUGCACAAUGGGGGAAACCCUGAUGCAGCGACGCCGCGUGGAGGAAGAAGGUCUUCGGAUUGUAAACUCCUGUUGUUGGGGAAAAAGAGGAUGGUACCCAACAAGGAAGUGACGGCUAACUACGUGCCAGUAGCCGCGGUAAUCUGAGCGGGCGUGGCAAGGC
rnacentral:rRNA from 1 species